UGGCAGCAGCUUUUCCUUACUUCCC
rnacentral:piRNA from 1 species